UGUUUCCUCUCUAGCAAACUUGAUUCUCCUUGCCUCUUCUAUCGACACCCGGAAUGCAUUGGCAAUCACCUCCACUGGCAUGCCGCGAACAGCAGAAGAGCGGCCGGAAAGAUCAGAGGUCAUGGCAUUGUCGUUGGUCUUGAACGCGACGUAUUCGAAUCUGUCACUCUCUGAUCGUUUCACCACCACAAAGUUCUGUGGCACGGUCAGGACCUGUCCUUCUCUUACAUUUCCAUCGAACACACUGUUGCCGUUCUCAUCCACCACCUGAAUCCUUGCUUGACCCUUCACGGCAUAGAUUACGCUGUGGGCAUUUAUGUGCCAGUGGGGUAACCUCACAGCAUCCUGCCAGGAACAUAUCAAUCAUUAUAAAUUGUGGAAGCGCUUCAUUAUAAUUAGAAUCAAAGGAGCAUUGAUGACUUACAUUGCGAAGAACGACAUGGGAAGCACUGAGUUGGAGCCAUCGCAGAAUAGGGAGGUUGUGGCUGUUGACAGUGCUAACACGGCCAACUUCUGGGACAAAUAUAUCAGAGCGAGAGGGAUCAGCAAUGUUCUCUUUCAUUCUCAUGGUGCAAAAUGUCUCCUCAACGCCAUUGUAACGUCCUGGUCGGCCUUCUUGCUCUCUCUCUCGUUGUUCCUCUCUCUCUUGUUGAGACCGGGGUGGCCUGACUACCAGAAGCCUACCUUCUACAUUCACAAUGCUGCCUCUGAAGUCAUUUUGGCCUUGAAGCUUCCUAGCCAACUGCUCGUCCACGUUGAAAGCUUCGGCAAGGACUCUUGAGUCUAUUCCGCAGAAAAGAUUGUUGCACGAAACAUGUGGUGGCCGACUUGGACGGCGAGCAAAUUGAUGCUGGCCGCGCUCAUAGUCGCCGCGUGGAAGUUGAGGGAACUCAUCUUCUGUGUUGCCAGCUAGAUAGAAGUUCUGUUAACAAGUUCAAGAAAAACCAUAAAAUGUGAAUUAACGCCUAACAAACACCUGACCAUACAGACACGCGUAGGUAGGCAUAUGUUUUUGAUUCUUACUCUGGGGUUCCUGUCAAGCUGGUUGCCUAUGUUGGCAGUGUCAAGGACAGAAAUAGUAACGACAGGCUCAUUGCCGUCGUUGUAGCACCAGUGGGCUACUCCAGCAGGCAAAGCAAUAACAUCGCCCUUACGGAAAUGACGAAUCUUCUGGUGCUGAUCACGAACUCUGCUGCUGCCACCUGAUUGCUGAGACUCUUGGAGUGUUUCAGCACAUCCCAGGAGCAAGACCCCUGUCAUUCCUCUACCUGUAUAUACACAAAUUAAUCAUCUCAUAAUCCAAAAUUCCAAGCACAUUAACUCACAUAUACAGCUUGAAUAUAUAAUUGCAGCUUUUGAAUAUUUAAUUUUACCCUGGACAAUGUAUAAGAGUUGAGGAGCAUUGCUAUAGGAUGGCAAUAGAAGGCCAUUGGGAUGAAUGGUACGUCUAACAACAGCAACACCAGCGCAUUGGAACUGAUCACGGUUAGGAUUCCACGACUCAACCAAACCAGCUUCGGUCUGAAUACGUUUAUCGGGUUCGAGGGCAUAGAGUUUAUUGAGUUGGCACCCAUUACCCUGCUGAAAUUCACGGCGAGCUAGAGAGCCAUGGAAGAGAACAAGUAGGAAGAAAGAAAGAGAGAGCAGCGAAGAAGGCUGAACCAUAGUGGCAGAGAGGAGGGGAUAGGUGGUUCUGGGAUGGAAGUGGCGAAUGGAAGGGGUUGGUAUUUAUAGAGGAAGAAGGAGAUGCAAAAGAAAGAUGAUCGUAAGGUUUCUUUGGUCACUCUCUUUGAUUUGCAUGGCUACUUCAUCUUAACUUCUUACACCUAAUAAAGUCAGAUAGGGCAGGUGUAUCAAAACUCCAUAGAAGAAUACAAAAGUUUGUGAAUGGGGAAAAAGAAAAAAGAAGAAGACAACAUUGGAUUGCAAAAACCAUUACCACAACACCAAAAAGUGAUCAAGUGUCUAAUAACUAUGGUUGAAAUUUAGCAAUUGAAGUGUCAUGUAGGCAUAACUAUGGUUGAUUUAGUACUUUAACUCGAUGUUUGAUCUUUAACGUCCAAGUAAAGAGAGGUUAGGGACAAAUGUUAGAUUUCUUUUCUUCUUUUGCAUUUAAUAUAACGCUCUUUUGCAUCUCCAUGCCCAAUUGUUUAAAUCACACAUACAGAAGAUGAUCUAUCCAGUGGAGUCAAUGUUUGAUCUAUUUCGUUAUAUUUACAGAUUGAUAAUUUAAUAUACUUUACUUAAACAUAUUUUGUUGUCUAUAAUAUUUACUUAAACAAAUCUCAUACUAUAAUUCAAACUGUAUGAUACUUUACUAGUAAUACUUUAAGAACACAAAUCCUAUAUAUAUACACUUAAAACUCUUAUUAAUUCGAAAAGAUAUACACUUGCUCAAAUAACCCUAGCUAGUUGUAACCAGAGUUACAACCACAUAGAUGCCAACAAAUAAAGACCAGCCUGGAGGGCAAUUAAUGACCAUCGUCCCCUAAAUGUCCCUUCAGGUACCAAGUCUGUCUAAGCUUCAACAUUAAUGGGUGUUAAACCCUCAUAAUCUUUGUUCUGUUUAUAGUAAGUAUCACUGUUGGUCCUUCAUAAGAUUUCUUCAAUCUAACCACCUCCUUAUCCUCUAAUAUUUUUUCUCUUUUUAAAAAAAAUAUGUAGUUCUUUUGUUUAGCUUUGAAUUUAUUUGGUGCAUGGCUUAGAAAGAAAUUAAGAUUAGUAAAUGCAAGUAUUGAUCCUCUGUCAUUUCAGGACUAUGAGAAUUAAUUGACGCAGCGGCAGUAGUUUCUUUUGUUUUUUCGUUGUCUCCCUCUCUUUGUUCUUGUUAAUGCCGAAUUAAUUCACGAGGUUAUUAUAGUUAAAUAUGAUAUCAAGUGAAAAAUAAAAGUAGAAAAACAAAAGCAAAAUGACCAUAGAAGCUGGUAGAUGGAAGAAGAGUCAAGAAAGCAUGGUGAACGCAUCACUUGCAUUCUCUACUACAAAUCCAGUUAUCGGUGACAAUUUUGUUUCUGCCACCAGAAUAAUUGUCACAAAUACAACAUAAUAUGUGACAUUACAUUUUAGGAUUAAGUAUUAUUUAUCGCUGCAGUUUGGUCUAAUACACAAAUUGAUUCUUAUAUUUUUUUAUUAUAUUAAAAUUUAGAACGUUUAAAUCAAAAAAAUUUACCCUAAAAACUUUUUCAGCGCAAAUAUAUAGUUAAAUUAUUUAAAAUACGUAAUCUAAACCCACAUUUAAUAAAUAACUUUUUAUUUUAGCUUAUGUGGCUAAUAGUAGACCCAUUAAAAACAUUAAAAAUAUGAAAAAAAGAAUAUUUAGAUCCAAAUUGAGAUAGUGAUCACGGUUCAAUUAACUGAAUCGUCGGCCAUUUUUAAGAACUUAAUAUAUAUAUCAAUUUUUAAAUUUAUGAACCUUAAAUCUAAAAUAUUAAUAUUGGCUAACCUGUAUUUACAGUACGGUUAACCAGAUUUUUAAUUUUUAAUAAAUAUUAAAUUUUAUAAUUUUUUUAAUAAAUUUUUAAUAUUUUAGCAUCCUUUUUCUUUCCUCAAUUAAUAAAUUAAUAAUAACAACGAUAAUAAUAAUAUAAUUAAUAUACUAUUUUUUUAAAAUUAGACUUAUUUUUUAAUAAGAAUUUUUUACUAAUUAAUAUAUUAAAUAUAUUUAUAUAAAUUAAUACUUCAGUAAUUUAUUAACUAAUUUAUUAAUUAAAUCUAUAUAAGCUAAUAUUAAAUAUAUAAUGGAUACAAGCAUUCCACAUAAUCAAUAAUUAUAAUAAAUAUAAUAAUUCUAUAUAUAUAUAUAUAUAAUUUCAGUGGUUAACUAAAACGUUGGUCUUUUAAUAUAGAGAAUCGAAACUAAAAUUGAAAACUGAAAAUUUCUAAAAUGAAAAAUAAAGUUGAAACGUUGGUUCAGUUAAUUUAUUUUAUCAAUUUAAUUUUUUUUUUUUUAUUCAGACAGAAUUCCUUCGAUUUUUUUUAUAUCACCCCUAGUGGUGAUAUGCCCUCUCUCUAUUUACUGUGUGAGUCGAUAUUUUAACAUUCCUUUUAAAUUAUUAUAUAUAUAUAUAUAUAUAUAUAUAUAUAUAUAUAUAUAUAUAUAUAUAUAUAUAUAUAUAUAUAUAUUAUAUUAAUUUUUGAAAUAAGUUUUGAAAUAAGUUUUAAUAUAUUUAUAAAUUCUAUAAUACAUUGUUAGAAGUUAUAUUAUUGAUAAAAUCAUAAUUCAGUGAUGGUUCAAGUUAAAUAUAUAUAAUAUUAUAUAAAAGAAUAAAAGUAUAAAUAUGUGUAUUANNNACAUAUAUACCUCAAGUUAAAAGUGCUAAACUUUUAUUAAUUUGACUGAAUUUGAUAACUUGAUACAGAAUGGGAUUAUGGUUGUCAUAGAAGCAACUAAUUCUUUUGUAAAUUUUGAAAUGGCAGAGAAAGGAAAAGGAAAAGAAGAAAGAAGAAGAAAAAGUAGGAGAAGGAAGAGAGAUAAAAGAGAAAAGUGGUAUUUUUUGAAAGUAAUUACUAUAUAUCUUUCAUAUUUUUUUUAUAUUACACUACUUACUCCUUAAUAUUUAAGAUUAGAUUUUUUUAUUUUUCUAUUUUAUAAUUUUAUAUUAAAGUCUAUUUUAUCGGAAUUUCUGCUAAAGAAUUGUUAACUAGGUUUAGUUUUAUACUAUUUGUCCACUAUGUUUUUUGUGUAAUAUACAUGCCUCCUUUAUUUUAUUUAUUGUAUUAAUUUUUUUUUUUGUAUUUUAAAAAUCAAUGCAAUUAAAAGACUAAAUUGAUAAAAAAAUAAUUUAAUUUUUAAAUUUUUUAUCAAAGUUAUGAUUUUAGUGUAACAAAAUUAAUAUUAAGGAUAAUAUCUAUUUUAUUUUAAUAAUUUAAAGUUAAAUUAUAUAAUUUUUUAAUAUUUUGAUAAAUAUAAUUAUUUUUAAAACACUUAAAUUUUAUUAGAGUUUAAUUAUGCCAAAAUUAGAGUAAUUAAAGAACACUAGUUAAUUAUUUGUGUACGAACACAACUUGAUUUUUACAUAAAAGUUAGACAAGAGAAUUCUAGUGUAACAAAUAAACUAUAAGGGACAUGUGUAUAUUACAUAAAAGAUCAAGGGGCAAAUGACAAUUGUUUAACAGAAAGUUUGACCAAAAGAAUUUUUAGUAUAAAAUAGAGAGAUGAAAUAUAUAUUUAUUAAAUAUUAAGAGGUAAUUAAUAUGAAAAUUUAUAAAGACAAAUAGUAAUUACAAAUGAAUGAGAAUUGUAUACAUUAAACCACCAUUAGCCACAUCAACACUAUUAAUUUCUCUGUUAUGUUGAGAGGUUUGAAUUGGAGGCUUCUACAAUUUAAGGGUAAAUAUGCUAUUCUCACCAAAUAUUAGCAGCAAAAAUGCACAUUUUCCUCUACUUUUAACUGGUCACUAUAUUAAAUUAAUUUUAUACUAAAAACUUCUUUUGUUAAAAUUUCUAUUAGGAAAUCGUUAAUUAGGUUUGGUUUUAUACUUUUUUUUUUUGUAAUAUACAAAUUGCACAUGUAUUUUAUUUUUACACUAAAAUUUCCUUGUAGUUUGAAAGUCAACGUAAUUAAGGAUCUAAAUUGAUUAAAAAAUAUAAUUUGAUCCUCAAACUUUUUAUCAAAGUUAUAAUUCUACUGAACAAAAUUAAUAAUAAUAAUAAUACUAUCUAUUUUAUUUUAACAAUUUCAAAUUAAAUUAUAUGAAUCUUCAAUAUUUUAAUUAAUAUAAGUACUUUUAAGAUAUUUAAAUUUUACUAAAAUUUAAUUAUGCUAAAGUUAGAAUAAUUAAAGAACACUAAUUAAUUGUUUUCGUACAGACACUAAAAUUAAUUUUUAUAUAAAAAUUAGACAAGAGAAUUUUAGUAUAAGGUCAAUUUGUAUAUUGCACUAAAGAUUAAGGAAAAAAUAGUAUAAAACUAAAUUUAGUUAACGGUUGGUUAACAAAAAUUCUAACCAAAGGGGUGUUACACAUGGUGCCCUUUCCUUAGCUUCCUUAAUCACACAAAUAUUUUCCUAAUCUUAAAAACAAAAGAUCCUAAGACAAUGAAAGAGUCCAAACCCAUCAGUCUCUGCAAUGUGUUUUAUAAAACUGUGUCUAAAGUGAUUACUAAUAGAACCAUGAAAGUACUACCUAGUGUUAUUUCUCAAACUCAAAGUGGCUUUGUGCAGGGGAGAUUGAUUACAUAUAAUAUUCUUAUUGCUUUUGAGUUCUUUCAUCACAUGAAAUGAAAUGCAUGAACAAAGGUAAAAAAAAAGUCAGAUGGCUCUAAAACUUAACACGACUAAAGCAUAUGAUAGGGUUGAAUGAAUUUUACGGAGAAAGUUAUGCAUAAUAUAAGAUUUCUUGUUGCCUUGAUUGAGCUGACCAUGAAGUGCAUUAGAUUUGUUUUUUUUACUGUCAUGAUUAAUGGCUUUUUUCAUGAUUUCUUUAAGCCCUAAGAAGGGAAUAAGACAUGGCGAUCCUCUAUCCUCCUUAUCUAUUUAUAAUGUGUGUUGAGGCUUUUUUAGGAUUGCUUUAUAAUGCUGAGAGGGACGAGAAAACUCAUGGUGCUUGAGUUGCUAGAGUUGCUCUCACCAUAUCUCAUUUAUUUGUUGCAAAUGAUUCAAUAGUCUAUGCUAGAGCAAUUCAAUAGGAAGGGGAAUCCAUUAUGUGAUACAAACCAAACUAGCACAACGAAUCCUACUCUAACAAAGAGUCUUGAUGAUGCAAACCUUACUAGCUCAAGGAAUUCUAAUCCAAUAAGGAGUCCUGACUCAACUGGGAAUCCUAAUCCUGUAAGGAGUCCUGAUAAUAUUAGGAGUUCAAGAAUCCUAAUUCGGAGUUCAAGCAAUAAAAAGAAUCCUAAUUCAACUAGGAGUCAUAGUUCGAUUGAAAUUGCAAGUCAAUGAGCUUAUCGAAGUCAUUUUGGCUAAGGACACAUCAAGACUUAAAAAAUUGGAUUUAAGUUCAAGGCUUGUUAAUCUAAUUCAGUUUAUUGGACUUGAAUGAAUUUAAUUGGCUUAAAAUGACCAAAAGAAGUUGAAUUGGAGCAUAUGACAACUCUGGGCCUAACUUGGCUUAUGUUAUGAGGCCCAUCUAUAUGACUUAUGUAAAUUAGGAUUUUAUGGCUUAUUUUGGGUGGCCACACAUGUAUUUUAACAUAAUUAGAACUUUGUUUAAGUUAUCUCUUUUAGUUAGGAAGGUUAUAUUUAUCCUAGAUUAGAUGUAAAUCCUUAUUAGUGGUUAUAUUUAUUCUAGAUUAGAUAUAAAUCCUUAUUAGUUAAGUAAGAGUUCUAUUCUUACUAAGACUUUGGAUAUGUCUUUAAAGCAUGUCAAAUUCGUAUGCCUUUGGCAGAUUAUAAUUAAUUACAGUUUUGUACUUCCUUUCAAAUCAAAAUUACUUGUAUCUUGUGUACUUAUUGAAUGUAAAACUUACUUAUCAAGGAGUUGAUAUAUCUUUGUGGCGUACUUAGGAUUGGGGUUUAAGGGAUUUAGUUUUCCUUAGGUUCUAAUUUUUUAUUAUCUUUCUAAGAGAUCUCUCUUCUAAUCUUUCUUAGAGGUUAAACCGAAUUGGUUCUUGGAGUUUUUAUGUUAAUAUGUUGGGGGUCUGCAAUUCAAAAGUAUUAGAGGGCAUCUGGUCUGGUGAUAAACUUAGAGAAUUCGGUGGUGGUGUUUAGCAUUAAUGUGAGCAUGGUUAGCAGGCACCAAAUUAGCAAUUGCUUGGGAGUCCAGCUUGUGAGUAAAUUUGAUAAGUAUCUUGGAUUACCUACAGAGCUAGGGAAAGUAAAGAAGCAGAUUUUUGGGAUGCUGUCUGAUCGGGUUUGGAAGAAAUUAUGUAGAUGAAAUUAGAAUGCCUUGUCACGACCCCACCCGUGGGCCCGUGACCGGCACUAGGGAAUGGGUAAAGAGGUAAAAAUUUUGAGAAAGAAAGAUUAAGGUCCCUGGUCGAGCAUUGCUCUCGGGGCGCCAGUCUUAUUGGAUUAAGAGAGCCGAAUGGCUACUAGAUUUCUUAUUUGGAUAUUUAAGUGACCAGACUGGAGGUAAGGUCCCUGGUCGAGCUUUGCUCUCGGGGCGCCAGUCUUAUUGGAUAAGAGAGCCAAAAGGCUAAGGCUGAGAGUUAAGUGACCGGACUGGAGGUAAGGUCCCUGGUCGAGCUUUGCUCUCUAGGCCCCAGUCCUGUUGGAAUGAGAGGUUUGAGAUGUUAGAGUUGAGGUUAGUUGAGACAUAAGUGUUGAAAUAAUCGAGAUUUUAGAGUUGGGAUUAGAGUUCUACUGAAGUACUCUGUCCCGUUGCAUGUGGAAUAAAUUUUGUUUAAGCAUGGCAUGACACGUAUGGUUCGCGUGAUUUACUAAUUAUUUUAAAAUUAAAUGAAUGUGACAUUGAGAUAUUUGAAACUGUUUUAGAUAUAUGAUUUUAACUCACUCUCGAGACUGACAGUCUCCAUUUAUGUUGUUUUUCAGAUUCGUGACUGUUAGUUCUCUCGCGACUCUUAUUCAGUAACCCGACUCCUUCAUCAUCGGGUGAAGUAUUUGAUUUGGUAUGUAAAAUGGUAAAUCUUAGAUUCUCCGCAGUAGUAAAUAGUAGAUGUAUCAGUUGUAAAUUUUCUGAGCUUCGGGUCUCGCCUAGUUUUUCUGGUAGACCGAAGUAAUUUUGUAAAGUGUAACUAUUAAGAUAAAUUGUGACUUUAAUAAUAUUAAUUUGAGAUGAGAUUUGUUUAAAUCAGUGAGUGUCAGGCUUACUACGGGUUUCGGUGGCCUUAAGCCUACCCAUUCCCUAGUGCCGGUCACGGGCCCACGGGUGGGGUCGUGACAAAGUUGGUAUCAGAGCUUAGGUUUAGAUUUCCUUCGACCUAAGUUAAGAUUUUUCUUGGUACUGCGGAGUUAGGAUCAUGUCUGUCUUGUUGUUUUCAUUGACUCCAGUGUUUCAGCCUUCACUGUUAGAGAGUCAGUCUUUCCUUUCUUGUAAGCUUGUCUUUGGUGCUGUGCUGAGAAUGAGCUUGUAGCGAUGGGAAGAUCCAGAGCGCGAUAGACUCGUGCUGUUUCUUCAAGUGAUUAGUGCAGUCCGCCUUUAGAAGAUUUGAUUGUUGUUUCGAUGGUGGGCACCGCAGUCAGUUUUAGUGUAGAGCGUGGUUGCAAUCGUGUCAUGGAUUGUCUCGUCAUUGCAUCAGGCAUCGUCUUAUUGAGUAGCGCCGAAAGUAGUGCCUGGGAAGUCGAGUAGAUGUCAGAGCUCUAUGGUUGAGUUUUGGUGAUUGUAAGAAGCUUAAGAAAGGUAGCAGGAGUAUUUUCGGACGCUCAUAAUCCAGAGAAACUUAAGCGAACAUUAUCUAUUUUUCUAAGUAGAACAAGUGUUUUAAAAUACAAUAUUGCGCCCAGUCCCGUAAGAAUGCAUAUGGCAUUUCACUGUUAGGCAUACAUAAAUUCAUUUUAGGACAUGCAUCAUACAUUGUGCAUUGCAACCCUUGGUGAUAGGGGGCAUCAUCACCCUGGCGCGCGAUAUUGUAGAAUUUUAUAUAAAGAAAAAUGGCUAGAGAUUUUACGAUUUUGUAAAAGUAUUUUUCAAGAUAAUAAAGUUUUUAUCAGUGAUGAUUAUAAAGUAAAUAAAUAAGUAAAUUUUUUCAAAGUAAAUAGUGUUAGCUUGAGAAUUCUCUGGAUGACGAGUUGAGUUGCUGAGAGAGUAAGUCUGUGGAGCUGUAGGCCCCAUGUUAGAUUAUAAGGGAGGCUUUUGGAUUUCAGUCAAGGAGGAAUCUUGUGUCAGGAUGGCAUGGGUUAUGUCGGUUGAUGCGAUCAGAUGGAUGUUAUGUCAUAAGUGAUGUGACUCGGUAAGAAAAUAAGGUUAUGGAGACCCUUGGUUUUGUCGGCAGGUUGGUGAGGUGGCAUGUAAGUUGGACUUGCCGCCAAGUAUUAGUAAUGUUCUCUGAGGUCAAAUCCAGUUGUUUGUAAGUCUGAGUUGAGGAAGUAUAUUUUCGAUCCUUUGCUCGUGUUGGAUCCUCAGUGUGUGAAUUUAAGUGAAGAUUUGGUUUCCGAGAAGUAGUAAGUGAGGAUCGUGGAUUUUCAGGUUCGCCAGUUUUAUUUAAGGGUUUUGUCGAUGAGUCUUGUGGUUUAGUUUAGUUUCUGCCGAGGAAAGUUCUCUAGAAGCCGGGUUGGAGUUGAGAGGUUCCUAAUUAGUUUCAGUCUUAGAGUGUAGCCCCUUUUCUUUUAAAAUUCGAGGUCGAAUUUUUUUUUUUAAGGGGGGGAGAAUGUAACACCCGGAAUUUUUAUAUAUUUAAUAAUGAGUUUUUAUUUAAGUUAAUUUUAGCUUCAUUAUUAUUGGGUUUAAUUUGAAAUGAUUAUAUUUUGGUUAUUCAAAAUUUUUCCAAAUGCAUAUUUAUAUAAGUAAAAUUAUAUAUUGAAAAAUUUUGGAAGAAAUUAUAAGGGAUGUUUUUAUAAAAGAAUUUUGAGAAAAUUGGUAUUAUAAUUGAUUAGUAGUAUUAAAUUUUAAGUUGGAAAUUGAUUAUUUAAUUUAAUUGUGUGUAGGAUUUAAUUGGAAAUUUAUUUUGGAAUAAGGAUUGAAAGUAUAAUGUUAUUUUUAUGGGGUUUUAAUGGAAAUUUGUGAGCUUGGUAUUUUUGUAAAUAAAUAUGUCGGUCAGGGGUAUUUUUGUAAUUGUGUAUUUUCAAUAAUUCGGAUUUGGCCCAAAUUAAAUAGUUAGGGGCUUAAUUGAAAGGCUAAAAAGAAGUUUGGGGGUCAAAUUGGAAUUCUGCAGGAUGAAAUUGUAAGUAAUUAAGAAAGUUGAGGGACGAAAUUGUAAUAAGGAAAAGUUCAAGGGUCAAAUGUCGAUAUUGAAAGGAAUGGAAGUCGGGGAAGGAAGAGAGGAAGAGAGAGAGAGAGAGCCGAAGAAGAAGGAGGAGCUGCGGUGGCGUGCGUCGUCGGAGCGGCUUCGGAAGUGUGCGGGGCUGGCCGGCGAAGCUGCAGGCGUCAGCGGCGGCAGCGGCAGCGGCACCAGCGGGCGACGGGAGCAGCUCUCGCGCUAGGAGGAAGAUGGCCGAAGCUUCUUUGCCGCCGUGCGGGCGUUUCCGGCGUCGGUGGUCGCUGAUUUUGGUGCCGAUCGACUCCUCUCGGCCUCAGCUUUGUUUUGGCGGCAGCGGUGUCGACAGUGGUGGCCGGAAUCAGAGAUUCACGGUGGAGAGAGAAAAUGGUGGCAGCCGGCAUUUUUGGGCUUUUCCGGCGAGCUCCGGCGGAGGAUGGAUGAUCGGAGGAUGUAUCCCGACUCUCCUCAGCUCAAGCUUCGCGAUGGCACUGGUUUCGUGGCGAUCGGGCUUCGUUUGUGAAUCGACGGUCGAGAUCGUCCGCAAAUCUCUCCGGAUGAUCGGGUGUCAGAUCGGAAAAUCGGAAGCAGGGAUCGUCAUCAGCGCGUCGUUGUGAGUCUGAUGGUGUGUUCGGAUCGUCGAUCGGACUCCGGCGGCUGGAGGCGAGUCGACCAAGCGAUCGAACGUCUCGGUAAAUUUCUUUGGCCCGUUAAUUUUAGAAAUCCUUGGUUUAAUUUGUGUCUAUGGUUUAUAUUGUGUACUUGAUGAUAUUUGUGAGUCAUAAAUAUUUGUCUGUCAGUUGGCCUGCCAUAGUCGUGUUUUUGUGCUGUGUGGCGGAGUCGGGAAAUAGUGAAGUUUGGGGACCCGACUCCCGUUGUUUUAAUUGUUGGUUAUUUGGAGUGUUUUUCUGGCAGGUCCUGGACCCGUUUUUACGGGGGGUAAUGUUCGUGUUGUAGAGGAGGUUCUGCCGAAUUUUCGGUAGUUCCCAAGUCGAGAUUCUUAGACAGUUAGUUCUAGGAGUCUAGACCUAGGGUCUAUUGUAAUUGUUUCAUCGUUUUGAUAAAUUAUUUUCCGUGAUUAGAUGAUCUGUCUGUUCGGCUCGCUCCUACCGAGGCACCUAAGCUGAGCUAGGAGGUCGCAAAUCUGUGAGUAAAGUCAUAUAUCGUUUACGCACGUGUCAUGCAUAAAUUUGAUUGCUACUGUGAACNNNNNNNNNNNNNNNNNNNNNNNNNNNNNNNNNNNNNNNNNNNNNNNNNNNNNNNNNNNNNNNNNNNNNNNNNNNNNNNNNNNNNNNNNNNNNNNNNNNNNNNNNNNNNNNNNNNNNNNNNNNNNNNNNNNNNNNNNNNNNNNNNNNNNNNNNNUAUUUGGAUAUUUAAGUGACCAGACUGGAGGUAAGGUCCCUGGUCGAGCUUUGCUCUCGGGGCGCCAGUCUUAUUGGAUAAGAGAGCCAAAAGGCUAAGGCUGAGAGUUAAGUGACCGGACUGGAGGUAAGGUCCCUGGUCGAGCUUUGCUCUCUGGGCCCCAGUCCUGUUGGAAUGAGAGGUUUGAGAUGUUAGAGUUGAGGUUAGUUGAGACAUAAGUGUUGAAAUAAUCGAGAUUUUAGAGUUGGGAUUAGAGUUCUACUGAAGUACUCUGUCCCGUUGCAUGUGGAAUAAAUUUUGUUUAAGCAUGGCAUGACACGUAUGGUUCGCGUGAUUUACUAAUUAUUUUAAAAUUAAAUGAAUGUGACAUUGAGAUAUUUGAAACUGUUUUAGAUAUAUGAUUUUAACUCACUCUCGAGACUGACAGUCUCCAUUUAUGUUGUUUUUCAGAUUCGUGACUGUUAGUUCUCUCGCGACUCUUAUUCAGUAACCCGACUCCUUCAUCAUCGGGUGAAGUAUUUGAUUUGGUAUGUAAAAUGGUAAAUCUUAGAUUCUCCGCAGUAGUAAAUAGUAGAUGUAUCAGUUGUAAAUUUUCUGAGCUUCGGGUCUCGCCUAGUUUUUCUGGUAGACCGAAGUAAUUUUGUAAAGUGUAACUAUUAAGAUAAAUUGUGACUUUAAUAAUAUUAAUUUGAGAUGAGAUUUGUUUAAAUCAGUGAGUGUCAGGCUUACUACGGGUUUCGGUGGCCUUAAGCCUAUCCAUUCCCUAGUGCCGGUCACGGGCCCACGGGUGGGGUCGUGACAUGCCUCAUCAAAAGCUAGCAAAGCAGCGUUGAUAAAAGCUAUGGUGCAUGCGAUGCCUACCUACACUAUCUGGUGCCAAAAACCAUUUGUGACAGAGUACAAGCUUUUAUUGAAAAGGGAUAAGCGACUCCACUAGCUUAGUUUGGAUAAUGUCUACAGCUCUAAGAAACAUGGGGGUCUUGGUUUUAGGAAUUUAGAGUUGUUCAAUAAAGCCUUCCCAUCAAAACAAGGGUGGAGACUCAUGAAAGAUGAAACAUCACUGGUGGCUAGAACUCUGAAGGCGAAACAUUAUCCAAGGUUAGAUUUUCUUAACGCCAGAAAAGGGCCUCGAAGUAGUUUUACUUGGCAAAAUAUUUUUGUUGGCCAAGAUUUGGUAAGACGUGGAACUCAUUUAGAUAGUGGGUAAGCUCACAGCAUUAGAGUUUUUGAGGAUGGAUGGUAAGCAAGAUCUGAUUCUUUUAAAGUAUGGACAUCGAGGAAUGGUAUGGAUGUUGAGCUAAGGGCACAGGACUUAAUGAAUGAGACGUAGAGAGUGGAAUAACACGUUCAUUGACUUAAACUCUGUUCCCCUUCCCCAAGAUGCGUGCAAAUCAAAAAAAUCCAAUUAGCAAAUUCUAUUAAGAGACUUUAAAGUGGCAAGAGAGGUGUGGUUUGCAUCUUGUUUGGGAUUGAAUGUGCAGGGAUUUAUUGAUGCAUCACUAUGUGUUGGUUUGAGUAUAUUUUGAGGCACUUGGACGAGGAGGUGUUUGGGUUUAUUUUGCUUAUUUUUUGGGCUUCGUGGUACCCUAGGAAUGUAUUUAUUUUUUAGCAGAAACCCAUGACCUGUAGCAAAAUUCUCAACUUGAGUUAUAAAGUGCAUGCAGACAUCGCCAUCGCCAUCGCUAAUGGAAGUCAUGAGCAGAGCCGGACAACUGUUUCGCCGAUAUGGACAAGGCCAGUUGGAGAGAGACAUAUUUGGAUGGAGGAAGUGCCCAGAGUGCGUAAAACAUAUUUUGGCUGAUGCCUUUCGUUAACUGAUGCUUUUGUUUUUCUAUCAAAAGAAAAAGACACCUCUUUUCAAAAGAAAAUAUUAUAAGAUGUUAUUUGUUCUUUUAUGUUUUAAUUGUUAAACAAUUUUUUCAUCUUUGAUCUUUCAAUUGUAAGAUCUCAUGUUUGCUUACAGAAAUAUUAUCAGAUUUAUUAUGAAAUUUAUUUUGUUUAUUUUUAUAGCUAGCAAUAAAUAGAUUUAAUUAUUAUUAAAGAAAUUCAAGACUCAUAUAUAUUAUAAAACUAUAUUAAUUUUCCAUUAAUAAUUUUAUUUGUUUUAAGAAGAUAAACCUUAGCAAAUACUUUUUAAUAUGAACAAUUUUUUUUAUUUCUACUUUAAAAAUUAUAAAAGUAAAGUAUUUUGUUAGAAGUAUAUUGGAAUUUUGAUUUUACAUAUAAAAUAAUUAUAAAAAAUAUAAAGACAUUUUUUUUUUUUUUUUGUAAAAGUUCUGAUUAGUGAAAGUGUCUAUAGAAUUAAUUUUCUAGAAUUAGACUUAAUUAUGCUUAGUAAUUCAAAAUCUUAAUAAAAUUAGAAUAAUACCCACCCAAUGCAUGUUUAAUUAUAUAUUUUCAUUAUUAUUUUUUGUUAUGAAUAUUUUUAUAUUAUUUAAUUAUCUAUUCAGAAUAUUAUUUUUGAUUAUAAAUAAUAUAAACAUAUGAUACUAAAUAAAUGUAGAUAAUUAUCUAUAAUUAUUGAUUUCAAUAAUGAUUGAAUCAUUCGUUAAAUAAAAAUUUGUUCAGUUUUUUUUUUGUUUCUUUUACUAAUAAUAUUCAUAUAAAUCUAAAUAACUAGGAAUAUUUUAUAAAAUUGAAAAAAAAAAACUAUUAAAAAUAUAAAUCAAACCAAAUUAAAUAUUUCAAUAUAAUUUGGUUUAAUAUUUAUUGUUUAAAUAAUCUUUCAGAGUUUUUUGGUUGAUUUAGUAUUCUCUAUUUUUAAGUACAUAAUUCAAUAGUAUUAAUUUACUUUACAUGUAUAAAAAUAUAAAUAUUUUAUUUUAUUAAAUUGCAUAAAAAAUAUAAUCAAAAUUAAUUUUUAAUAAAUAUAUUAAAAAUAAUUUAUUUAUUAAUAUAAAAAUUGAAUUCUAUACAUUAACAAAGGCUUUUUAUUUGAGACUAUAAUAUGCUGCAAUAAUUUUGAUAAAAUAUAUGUAAUAUAAAANNNNNNNNNNNNNNNAUGGUCUAAUGAAUAUAAAUAUGAUGAUAAAGAAAAAAGAAUAAUUCUUUAAUUAAUAGAUAAUUAUUUUAUUAUGAAAAUUAAAAAAGUUAAAUAAUCAAUUAAAAUUUAAAAUUAUAAAGAAGAAUUUCAUAAAAAAAGGAUUAUAAAAUAAUGUAAAUCUAUAAAAAAACUUAUUUUACAUAGUAAUACAAAAUUUAAAGGAAUUAUCUAAAGUUGAAGUUACAAAAAGAAUUUAAAAAUUUUAAAAAUAUGAAAUAACAAAAUAUUAUAACUAAGAUGAUAAAUUUAUAAUAAAAUAUUCUCUAAAAUAAUAAAAAUAUGUUAGAAUUUAUUGAUUCUCUAAAAAUUAAAAAAAUUAACUUAAGAGUGAUACAAUAUGCUAUGUAGGAGAAACGAAAGAGGUGAAAUUCUUUUUCCUUUCUAUAGGGACCAGGAGAUUGGAUCUAGCCGUAAGAAGAAUGCUUGGCUGAUAAAUAACUCAUUUUUUGGUUUUCGACCCCCUCAGUCACUACAAACGCCCCUGAUCAGUGCAAUGGGAUGUGUCUAUUUAUCUAUCUCUUGACUCGAAAUGGAAACAGGUUUGAAAAAGGAUCUUAGAGUGUCUAAGGUGGGGCCGGGAGGGUCUGGUCUCUUAACGCCUUCUUUUUUCUUCUCAUUGGAGUUAUUUCAAAAAGACUUACCACGGUAAGGAAGAAGGGGAGAACAAGCACACUUAGAGAGCGCAGUAUAACAAAGAAUUCUAUGCUGCGUUCGAGAAGGAUGAAUCACUCCCGAAAAGGAAUCUAUUGAUUCUCUCCCAAUUGGUUGAACCGUAGGUGCAAUGAUUUACUUCACGGGCGAGGUCUCUGGUUCAAGUCCAGGAUGGCCCAGCUGCGCCAAAGAAAAGAAUAGAAGAAGUAUCUGACUCCUUCGUGCAUGCUCCACUUGGCUCGUGGAUAUAGCUCAGUUAGUAGAGCUCUACUCUUGCAAUUGGGUCGUUGCGAUUACGGGUUAGAUGUCUAAUUGUCCAAGCGGUAAUGAUAGUAUCUUGUACUUGAACUGGUGGCUCACUCUUUCUAAAUAAUGGGAAAGAGGACCAAAACAUGUCACUAAAAGACUCUACUGAGACAAAGAUGGGCUGUCAAGAACGUAGAGGAGGUAAGAUGGGCAGUUAGUCAGAUCUAGUAUGGAUCGUACGGGGACAAUAGAUGGAGUCGGCGGCUCUCCCAAGGUUCCCUCAUCUGGGAUCCUUAGGGAAGAUGAUCAAGUUGGCCCUUGCAAACAACUUGAUGUUUAAGAAUCACCGCCAAUACCUCGGUGUAGGUAAGUCUGGUAUAAUCAUUUGUUCCAUAGUCUAGGGCUAUUUACAACUAGCCAAUUAUGAAUUUUCAGAUGUACGUACUAGUACUAGCAAAUGCAUCAAAGAUGUAGUCAUCGAUUCUCCCGAGAUGCCACAAUUACCGCAAGCAAACAUAUUAAUGACGAAGAACAUAUUUUUGCUAUGCUACUAAUACUUAUACUUACUCUGCUAUUCUACCCAAGUCUGACUGAGGAAGAAUUAGGGGGGUAUAAAACAAAAAAAGAUUCGGUCUGGGGCAUGUGGAAUGAAUCUACCAUCGAUAAAAAAAAGAAUAAAAAAAGAAAACAUUCUAUUUCGACAAAAGAUCCACACCCAAGUUCCAUAGCUUUGGGUCCGCUAUCCCGAUCAUGAUUUUUCUACCUCUAGAAGGAAAGAUCCUUUCCUUUUUGGCCAGUUAUGGGCAAGGAGGGAUUUGAACCCCCUGACAUUGUGGUUCGUAGCCACGUGCUCUAAUCCUCUGAGCUACAGGCCCCACCCCCUCUCCAUUGGAUCUGUUCCCAGGAGUACCCUAACAAAGGAACCUUUCCUUUCCCCAGCCAUUUCGGGUUAAGAAGAUGCGAAAGUGCCUCUCUCUCUCUAUAAGAACGGGGCGUUUCGAGGUAUGAAGUGGGAGAAUGGAAUUUCAUAAUUGGGGUUUUGAAUAAGACAACCUUUUCAUUUUUUUUUCGUAUUGGAAAAGUAAUAAGAAUGAGGGAUGUUAAGCUUUUUAUCAUCCUGGAGUCGAGCUAUUUUUUCGCAUGACCUCCCCUAUAAUAUCUUCACCGCAGUAGAGUUUAACUACCAAGUUCGGGAUGGAUUGGUGUGGUUCCUCUACGCCUAGGACACCAGAAUAUCGAACCAUGAACGAACAAAGAAAUGAGAGAAAAUCAUAUUUGCUAGUGAUUGUAAGGCCCUAAUUCUUGACUAGGGGGGACACCAAAGGCCUCUGCCCUUCCAUUCUUGGAUCAAUAGAAAGGGAGGGCAAAGCUUUUGGCUUUUUCAUGUUGUCAAAGAGUUGAACAAUAAAAAUAGAUGGCGAGUACCUAAUCAAAUUGAUCGGGUCAUGUAGGAACAAUGUUCAAGUCUACCGGUCUGUUAGGAUGGCUCAGCUACAUACAUCACUGCACUUCCGCUUGACACUUAUCAUAAUGAUAAACGGCUGGUCUUGUUGUGACCUUCUUUUGAAUUCUCAAAACUUCUAUCACUCCACCCCUGCAGGGGUAGAGAACCCGUUGCUGUCUCGGCUGUGCUACCGAAGUUUCUAGGGAAGUCAGAAUAGGAGAGCACUCAUCUUGGGGUGGGCUUACUACUUAGAUGUUUUCAACAGUUAUCCACUCCAUACUUGGCUACCCAACGUUUACCGUGGGCAUGAUAACUAGUACACCAGAGGUGCGUCCUUUUCGGUCCUCUUGUACUAGGGAAAGGUCCUCUCAAUGCUCUAACGCCCACACUGGAUAUGGACCGAACUGUCUUACGAUGUUCUGAACCCAGCUCACGUACCGCUUUAAUGGGAGAACAGACCAACCCUUAGAACAUACUACAGCCCCAAAUGGCGGAGAGCUGACAUCAAGGUGCCAAACCUUCGCGUCGAUGUGAACUCUUGGGAAGAUUAGCCUGUUAUCCUUAGAGUAACUUUUAUCCGUUGAGCGAUGCUCUUUCCACUCGGCACUGUCGGAUCAUUAAGGCCAACUUUCGUCUCUGCUCGACGGGUGGGUCUUGCACUCAAGCUCCCUUCUGCCUUUGCACUCGAGGGCCAAUCUCCGUCCGGCCCGAGGAAACCUUUGCACACCUCCGUUAUCUUUUGGAAGGCCUAUGCCCUAUAGAAACUAUCUAUUUGAGAUUGUCCCUUGGCCUGUAGGUUCUGACACAAGGUUAGAAUUCUAGCUCUUCCAGAGUGGUAUCUCACUGAUGGCUCGGACCCCCCCGGAAGGGGGCCUUCUUCGCCUUCCACCUAAGCUACGCAGGAAAGGCUCAAAGCCAGUCACGGGGAACAAUGAAGCUUCAUAGGGUCUUUCUAUCUAAGUGCAGGUAGUCCACAUCUCCAUAAACAUGUCUAUUUCACCGAGCCUCUCUCCAAGGCAGUGCCUAGAUCGUUACGCCUUUCGUGCGGGUCGGAACUUUCUCAACAAGGAAUUUUGCUACAUUAGGGCUGUUAUAGUCACGGUCGCCGUUCACCGGGGCUUCGGUCACCGGCUCCCCUGUCAUCAGGUCACCAACUUCCUUGACCUUCCGGCACUGGGCAGGCGUCAUCCCCAAUACAUGGUCUUACGACUUUGUAGAGACCUGUGUUUAUUAUAAACAGUCACUAGGGCUUGGUCACUGCAACCCCCUUUGUGAGGAGGCACCCCUUCUUCCGAAGUUACGGGGCUAUUUUGCAGAGUUCCUUCAAGAGAGUUGUCUCGUGCCCCUAGGUAUUCUUUACCUACCUACCUGUGUCGAUUUCGGGUACAGGUACCCUUUUAUUGAAGGUCGUAUGAGCUUUUCCUGGUAGUAUGGCAUGGGUUACUUCAACGCUGUAGUGUCUGGUACUCGAACAUUGGCUCGAGGCAUUUUCUCUACCCCUUCUUAUCCUGAAAAAGCAGGGACACCGUGCGUCCUUGAACCGAUUACCAUCUUUCGGCUAACCUAGCCUCCUCCGUCCUCAAGACCAAUAAGGGGUAGUGUAGGAAUAUUCAAUUGUUGUCCAUCGACUACGCCUGACUCACCCACUGUGGACGAACCUUAGGUGAUAUAUAUAUAUAUAUAUAUAUAUAUAUAUAUAUAUAUAUAUAUAUAUUGAACUUAGAAUUAGACUCCUGCUACAUGAAUUAUAAUUAAUAAAUUAAAUUACUAAAUAAAUAAAUUAACGUAAUUAACUAAAAAAUUAAUGAGACUUUACCAAUAAUUAAUUUAAUAAAAAUUAAUAUUGAUAAUUAAUAUAAUAAUAAAUAAUAUUAAUAAUUAAUAUGAUAAUACUGGAAAUCAUUAAAUUCGUCAAUCCCUUUUAUUUUGUUCUUUUAUGAAAAAUUGGCCGGUCGUUGUAUGUGAUAAUUAUACUAUAUUGAUCAUUCCUUAUCUAAUGAUUAUCAAUCCGUGCAUAAAAAAUUAAUUAUGAGUAUAAAAACCUAUUUAUUGAACUUUUAGUUUAAAAUAAUUAAGUCUAAAGAAGAUAAGGAACUUUAUUAUCUUUUAUAAAAAUUCUACUUAUUGAGAGUGUCUAAAAUUAGAUUUAAUUAUAUUAAAUAAUUAAAAAUAGUUAACUUCUAGAAUUAAUUUUAUACUAAUAAAUUAUUAAUUAUUAAUAUUAAGUUAUAAAUAACUAAUUAAUUUUUUAACUAAAGGAUUACUUACUAAGUUAAUCAGUAAAUUUGUCUAUCACUCUUUUUUCAUAUUAGAAGUUCUCUGUAGAGGUCAUCAAUUGUAAUAAUUUUAUAAAUUAUUUCCCUUUUUCUUACUGAAGAAAUAUAUUAUUGGUUUAAAAAAAUUAACUUUUUAUGACUUAUGAAGUAUAAUAUUUAUGAUGUAUAAAAUUUUGGAUUCAUCUACUUAUUGGUAAGUAGAAUUAAUUUUAUUAUUUUGAUACUUUCUAGUAAUAAAACAUUCCUUCUCCAAUAAAAUUCAUUCUUUCUUAAUUCUUAUUUUAAUAAAAAUUCAUGUUUCUUACUUUUCUAUAUUAAAUUUUUAACUUAUUCUUCAAUUAUGAUUUUAAUAUGACUGUUAAUAUUAAAAUGCAUAAAUCAAUUAAGGUAAUUUAGUCAUUUACUAAUUUAAUUUAGUAAUUAAUGAUUUAUUUAGUAUAAAUUUAAUUCUAGAAAACUAUAUUAGAAUUUUUAAUUAAAUAAUCUUUAUAAUUCUUUGUAAAACAUGAAAAUUGCAAGUUUCAAGACUUUAAAUUUGAGAACUUAAAUUUUCAUGAAAGAAAGAGAAAACAUAAUUCAAAUAACAAAGUAUUUUUUUCUCUUUGAUUUUUCAUUUGAAAUUAAUAUUUUCAUUGAAAACGACAACAAAUUAGAAAGUAUGUAAUAGUUCAAAAAUAAUUAUAAAUGAGAGGCUCCAAAUAAUCUAAAGUCAAAACAGCCAGUAUUUUGAAUAAGAAACUCUCUAAGGAAAAAUAAUUUGGCAAUUACAUCUUUAUUGAUGGGAUGCUUAAUAAUUGGAUAAAAUUUAACUGAGUAAUUUGGAAUUUGGAAUUAUGGAUUUUCUUUUGUAUAAAUUAAUCAUCUUCACAAGUUGGAUUAUAAAUAAAUUUCAAGUAUAUAGUCUCUAUUAUAAGCAUGUUUUAUAUUGCUAAUUUUAAAUUUUAAUUUAUAUACUAUAAAGCCUUUUUGAAAACUUUAAUAUUGUUACAAAUACUUUCAAUUUGAUUCUAUUAAAAUGUAAUAUAUGAUAUUAAUAUUAUUAUUGACUUUUUAUACUCAUAAAAAUUUUAAAUUUAUAUUAAAUUAUUAUAAUUACAUCAUAUGUAUGGCUAUUUUUUUAGCUAAACGCAGGUAAAAAGAUAUUAGUAAUAUUAAAACUGAAAGUUAGUUUUAUGAUAAAAAAAUUAAAUUUUUCUCUUUAAAAAUUAAAUUAAAAAGAUACUUUUUUCUCUUUCAUUGUAACUAUCUCUAUGGACUCUAAGGAAAUUAAAAUGUCGAUUUUACUCUUAAUCUAAUGUUAAUCGUUUUUGUUUGAAAUAUUAGUUAUAAAUAUAAAUCAAAGUAGAAAGAAUUAUAAAAAUUAUUUAAUAAUUAAAAAUUUUAAUAGAGUUGAAUUUUUAAAAUUAGAUUUAUACUAAAUGAAUUAUUAAUUAUUAAGUUAAAAUAAUAAAUAACUAAAUAAUUUUAAUUAACUAAAAGAUAAGUAAGGGUAAUGACUAACUUUGCCUAUCCCACUUAUUAGCUUUUUCUUUUUUUUUUUUUUUUUUUUUUUAUAUGUACGUUAUGAUAAGUAGAAAGUAUCUUUUUCUGCCAAUCAACUUUUAUGAGUUUACUUUUACAUUUUCUUAAUUCAAAUUUUAAACAAUGGAUCUAUUUAAAAUUUUUUAGUGUUUACUCAGAAUAUCUAUAAUCAAGCAAGAAUGCAGUAAACGGUAAACUCUUCUUAAUAUUGUAUAAUUAUAAGAAUUUGAACUCAUAAACUUUAAUAUCUAUAUUCCAGCAAGGAUGUAGUAAAUGGUAAACUCCUCUUAGUAUGCCUUAAAAUUAGUCAGUGUACUACUAGAUCAAUACCAUAUUGGUGUCAAUAGUAUCUAAUAAUUAAAACAAUAAUAACACAAUAACUCUUUCUUUUUAACUAUGGAUUUAGCAUGUAAGCAUAUAUUUUAUCUUCCUUUCUGUAUUUUCCUUCUCUUUUCUCUCUCCAGCCUCAAUAUCUUUGAUUUGUUCUUAAAUUAUUCAGGUAAAAGUCAGUUAUAAGGAGAGAUCACGAGUCAACCACUAAGUCUUUGGCACAGUAAAAGAGCUUUACGAAAAUUAGAUAGAGCUGUCAAGUUCAAACCUUUAUUUCUCUUUUUUAUAAUAAUAACUAUAAAGAAAAGAUAUGGGUCCAAGUCGUUCUUUGUAAAUAUAAUGUGGCCUUGAUCAUAUUCCUUCUCAUCUUCCGAGUAAGAAUGGGUCUCAUGUUUGGAGAUCAAUUUGCAAGAAUUGGAAUGUUAUCAAAAGCGGAGUGAGAUGGAUUAUUGGUAAUGACAGAAAGGUUCUCUUUUGGCUAGAUCCUUAGAUGGCUAAUAGUAAACCAUUGUUGUUUUAUGCUACUGGCCCGAUGUUUGAGGAAGUCUUAGAGGCAAGGGUCUAUCACUUUGUUAGCUCCAACGACAAUUGGAUUUGGGCUAAGUUUUCUAAGGUCUUGCCAUCUCAAAUCUUUCUCAAAAUUACAAACGUUAAACCUCCUUGUAAUGAGGAUGGUGAUGAUUUUAUGACUUGGGCAUGGCCUAAGAAUGGAAAGUUCUUUGUUGGGACAGCCUAUAACCAAAUGGUGAGCAGUGAAUGGAAUGAGGAAAAUUUCUCAUAGAGGUUGGCAUGGGAUUAGAAAGGGCCUUUAGAGGAUAAAAGUUUUCAUUUGGCUAGCUUGAACAAGAAUUUGACUGCCAAAGUGAAGCUGGUUAGGAGGUAAAUUAAGGAUGUUCCUAUUUUGACAUUUGUGGCAAUGCUGUAGAGGAUAUUCUCCAUGUGUUGCGGGAUUAUUUGGUAGCUAGACAAAUCUAGAAAAGCUUAAUUCCUCCGGAUAGCCAGAUGGCUUUCUUCUUACUAGACCUGCAUAAUUAAAUGUUAAGUGAUACAGGCAUUCAAGGAGAGAUAAAUUGGUCUAUCACCUUUAGAGUUGCUCUAUAGAAAUUAUGGAGGUGGAGAAAUGAUGCGCGUUAUCUGUACAUGACAAAAUGCACCGAUCGUAUUAAGUAAUACAAUAAUAAAUAAGAGCAUCGUUCCACUAGGGAUCUAAUUGUGAGUAAUAUCUUCAAUCAUACACUAAUAUUUAGCAAUCAUAAUAUUGUUGGGUUGUAAUAAUAUUUAAUGGUCAAAUAAUCUUGAAAACAAAGAUUAAAACAAUUAGUAAACUUAUCAAGAAUAAAACCAAUUUAGACAGUAAAUCUCCUUAAUAAGUUAAGUAUUUCAUGAAACAAACAAUAGUUAAUUCAAAUCAAGAGUUGAGUUAGCAUUUCAUAAAAUUAGGUUUAAACCUUUCUCAAGUGAUUAAACCCCUAAUUCCUAAGAGGAGGGAGAGGAAUCUCUUCCCAAACUAACUCACUUAGGUCAUGCAUUAAGAUUAAAAAACUAUUCAACCAAAGGAUCUUGUAGAUCUAUCUUUAGUAUCCUAAUCAAUCCUCAAUCCCUAAGAUGUUAUCAAUUUAUAAAAAGUUAUCUCUAAUCACUUUAUGAAAAUAAAUCAUAGUCAAUACGUCGACUUAUCAAUUGAAAUAGAUAAUUAAGCAAUCAAAGGAACAAAACAACUCAUAGAAAAAAUUAAUUGUAUUAACUUUGAAUCAAUCCAUACAAAACAAAUUAGGGUUCAUCAAAACCAAAAUAGCAAGAAAAUUAGUUCCUAAAAAUUACAAUAGAGAAAUAAAGAUUAGGAAAAGAAGAUCUCAAACUAUUCAUGGAAGAGUAGAGACAAAAAUCUUCAAUCUUCAAAAGUAAUGAAUGAAUUAAUGUUCUUUCUUGAGAAAUAACAAUCAAAACCCUAAAAAUGAAAGAAAGAUAAAGUUUCUAAGUAUUUCUCUCUCUAGAAAUGAAAAUAUAACAGAACUUCCUUAAAAAACCCCUAAAGUCCUUUAAAUAGUGUAUUUUUAUGAUUGACAAGGGGACCACACGGGCACCACAAGGUCGUGUGAUGUCCUUAGCUUUUCGAAGCUUGAAUAUAUAUUUCUUUCUGUUCUUUACUCUACGGGCUAUUUUAGGAUAUCAUAAAAAUUGAAUUAAGGCUUACGUUCUUCAUCAAAGUUGUAGCUUUUGAAGAGUAGUUCAUUUUAAGAUUUGCAACACUUCAAUUAAACCUCUUUAGCUCUAGAUAAAGUCCAAAUACUGAGACUGACCCAAACAGAGAUGGAGUGCAUAACAUCUGACUUCAACCUAAGCUUUCUCAUCCUUAGCAACCUAAUAUGGAGUUGAGCUAUUUAUAAGCAUUAUAGCUGAGGAAGUCCUCUACAAAAUUGAUGAAGACCAGUUUUCAAUUCUAAACCUGUAAGAUCACAAAAAACUACACUAAAACUAAUGCGAUUAAAUCUGCGUAAUGCUGAAAUAUCAGUCUGACACGGAAAGCACACGCCCGUGUGGAUCCUUCAUACAAUCUGCCAUUUCUUACAACUCAAAUGAGAAGGCACACGCGUGUGCCUUCCCGUGUCACAUUGAACUUUGGAUAAAUAUGCCUUUUCUUUGCUAGAUUCUCAUACUUUUCAAUUUUAUUUGACUCAUUAACAUGUAUUAUCCUUAAAGUGCCUAAAAGAACUGAAAAUUAAGCUUGAAUAAACAAAUCAAAUUAAAUUGCAGUAAAAAUUAAUAUAAGAUAAAGCUGAAAAGUAAGUACCUUUAGCACUUAUUAAAUUUCCAAACACUUAGCAAUUGCUUGUCCUCAAGCAAAUUGAAUAGAAUCAGAAAUAAAGAAAUAAUAAACUCUUUGUUUAACAAAUAGAUAUUAAAUAAUAUCAAGGUUAAUCAUUCAUAUCAUUAAAGCCUAGAAUCAUUAGCCAAUAAUUAAUCCUUAAACAAAAUACCAACAUCUAGGGGAAUCACAUAAUAGGAAGUAAUGAAAAUUAAAACCUUAACAUCUAAAGUCAGGGAAAUGAGCAUUCUUUGCAAAUAACCCAAAAUUUUAAAGAAAAUAGAGAAAAGAUUUUUUCCCUGAGCACAAAAAAACUUCAUGAACCGCAAUUACUUAUGUCUCUGUUUUUUUUAGAGAUCUAUGCAUAUUCAAAAUUGUCAUUCUUUUGACGCGAAUGUAGAUAUGGAUGAUGCCAACCCCCAGUUACUUAACUAGAGUCACAAAUCUAAAUAACUACUCAUAUUCUCGGGUUUCUUUCAAUUUAUUUCUUUUUAUUUCGAAUGAGAAUAGCGGAAUAGAGCAAAAAACUCUUAGCAUUGUAUUUUGUUUACGUUCAUUUUUUUGACAUUUCGAAAGAAUAAGAGAGUACAAAGGAGUAUUAGAUGUGUCUACUUGAUAAGAUUAAGCGAAAUUUGAAAACUUAAUGCUCAUAAAUAUAACUAAAGUUUCAAGAUAUAAAAAUAACGCGACAUUAUGAAUUAAAAAUCCUAGCAUGGAUACCAAGUUCAAGUCAUAAUUCAAAGUGAAAUCAACUAAAUCGCAAUUCAAUAAAUGACUAACCAAAUUUAUUAUUUUGUACCUAUAAAUUUGAGAUAGAGAAAAUCAUAAUAAGUAAUUAAUUAAACUUAAUAAGCUUAUAGAAAAUUAAUCACAAAUAGGCAAAAGACAACAAAAAUGCUUCCCCCACACUUAAUCGACAUUAUUGUCCCCAAUGUAUUUGUUAUAUAACGUACAAUAAAAUAAAAUAAGGAGGAGACUUAAACCGAAUGAUUGUCGUUUUUUUUUAAUUCAAAAUUCAUUCUAAUUCACAAGUCAUCUGUUUAUCUAUCGCACAUCUAAGAAUAGAAAUAAAUGUUAUAACAUAUAUAGUCAUCCAAUAACAAAAGAAAACAAAAACACUAAAAAUAAAAAAACCAUAAAUAUCCUAAUUAAGUACAAUCAUCUAAAAAUAAAAUAAAAGACAUAGAAACAAAUCAAAAUAAAAGUCCAGCUCAAAUGCUAGAACAAGGUGGAGGUUCAAAUCCUCCAUACCAUCAUCUCCACCAACCUACAUCAAGGAGCUUAAUCAUCACCACCAAAAAUGCAUAUUCUAAAUGAGAUAAGAAUUGCUUAAGCUUCAAAGUUAGUAGGUAUUUAAUAGGAGGCUUCAUUCUUUCUUUGAUGGGCAUCUCAAUAGCUUUUGAUGUUUUCAGUUUUUCUGGUUUCUGCACAAGACACAACUCAAAAGUAUCUUUAGCAAUAAUAGAUAAAAUUAAAUUGACAAUUUCAUGCUCUAUCAUAUCAACACUAGAAUCCAUAUCAUUAAGUGCAAGUGGGUGUUUUAUGCCAUUGGGGGUUUAAAAAGUCAAUUGCUCAUCCCCUACCCUAAGAAUGAGUUUACCAUCAUGAACAUUAAUAUAGUUCUAGCUGUAGCAAGAAAGGAUUUAUCAAGAAUAAGGAAAACAUCAACAUCCUCAUCUAUAUUCAUGAUCAUAAAAUCCACAAGAAGAAUAAACUCUUGAACCUUUACCAAAACAUCUUCAAUGAUAUCCCUAAGGUAUACAACAGAUUUAUCAGCUAGUUGAACACUCAUGAGUGUUGGUUUAGGUUCUCUAAGUCCUAGUUUCUUAGAAAAAUUAUAAGGCAUAACACUAAUGCUAGCCUCCAAGUUAGCAAGUGCAUUUUCAACAUUUAAAUUACUAAGCUUCUUUCGUAAUCGCCUCUCAAAGAUCGCCGAGCUCUUCUCUGAUAGUUGCACCAUUGACACUUCCUUAAGCUUCCUCUUGUUAGAGAGGAGUUCCUUUAAGAACUUAGCAUACUUAGAAAUUUACGAUAGAGCUCCUAUAAAAGGUAUGUUAAUAUGCAACUACUUAAAGAGUUCAAGAAACUUACUAAAUUUUAUAUCCAAUUUGUCCUACAGAAGAUGGGCUGGAAAUGGUACCCUUGGUUUAUACUCCUUCACAAAAGGGGUAGGCUUUGGUGUUACUUCUACUUUAUCUUCUACUUUAUCUUUAACCGCAUCAGAUUGCUUUUCUGCUUACUUUGUUUCAGUUCAUAAUUAUUUUCCAUUUCUGAAAGUAAUGACCUUGAGUUGCUCUCUAGGAUUUGUCUCUAUGUUGCUAGGCAAGCUUCCUUGGGACCUUUCACUCAAAAGCUUUAUAAUCUGCCCCACUUGAUUUUUUAAGUUGUGAAUCGAAUCUUGUUGGUUCCUAAGAGCAGUUUUUGUAUACUGAAACCUUAAUUCAGAAGCUAAGAUAAAUUUCUCCAUCAUCUCCUCUAAAUUACUCCUUCUAGGAGGAGCUUGUUGCUGGUUUUGCUAUUGAAAUCCUGGUGGUGGAGGUCUUUGCUGAUUCUGAUUCCCCCAAGAGAAAUUCAGAUGAUUUCUCCAUCCUAAAUUAUAUUUAUUGCUGUAGGGGUUGUUCUAUUGGUCUGAAGCAUUACCCAUAUAAUAAACAUGCUUUAGCUUAGCAAAAGUAUUGCCAUUUUGGCAAUCUUGACAUAGAUGACCACACCUAUACCAAUCACAAGUCAUAACUUGUGCCUGUCUUCCAGAUGAAGACAUAGUCAAAGCAUCCAUCUUCCUGCUCAUAGCCUUUCACUGUGCAUUUACAGUUACCAUAGGGUCUACCGCAUGGAUUCCACUCCUUUUGACUCGAACCUACUCUCUUGGAUUCUGCCAUUGAUAGUUCGUGACUGCCAUAUCCUCAAUAAGAUCCAUAGCUUGCUCAAGAGUCUUAUUGUUUAGUGAUCUACCUGCUGUAGUAUUAAUAGACUAUUUACUUGCGUAAUUCAGUCCAUUAAAGAAUGUUUGAAUUUGUAGCCAUAAAAGUAAAUCAUGGUGUGGAUGGCUUCUCAGUAAAUCUUUGAAACAUUCUCAACAAUUGUAUAGAGUCUCAUUCUCUUACUGAAGAAACCUUGUUAUGUCAUUCCUUAACUUGGCCAUCUUAGAAGGUGAAAAAUAUCUUUCCAAGAGUUUCUCGGCCAGCUGAUUCCAAGUCGUAAAUAUCCUACUUGGAAAUAACUUCAACCACUUCUUUGGCUUAUCCCUUAAUGAAAAUGGGAAUAGCCUCAACCGAAUAGCACCAUCUAAUACCCUAUUAAUCUUGAAGGUAUCGCAAAUCUCCAGAAAAUCAUUUAAAUGGGUGUUUGGAUUACCAUUUGAAUGAUGUUAGGCUUGAUCUCGAAGUUUUUUACUACAACAUUUGACCUUAUAAUACUCGAUGUGGCCCCAUUAAGAGUUUGGCAUGCAUACUCCUGCAUGAUUCUCUCCCUCGGUGGAGCUGCCAUCCUUAACUAUUCCCCUUCUUAGUUUGGUUCUCCUUCUUGAUUUCGAUUCUGUAACUCUGCUGGCAUUUCGGCUAAAGCUCGUUCUCGUUCUUCUCUUUGUUGCUUCCUUAAAGUUCUUUCCAACUCUAGUUCGUAAGCAAAUAAUUCAGUUGAACUAGCUCGGGUCAUAUACAAAUUCAAGUAUUUACAGAAAAUACAAACAUAACAAAGAUAAAUCAAAUGAAAAAUAAAAAUGCUAAAUUACUAGCUUUUGAAUUACUAAUGAUAUCACAAUAGAAAAUAGGUCCCCGAUAACGGCGCCAAAAAUUUGAUGCGUGCUAUCUGCACAUGGCAAAGUGCACCAAUCGUAUCAAGUAAUAUAAUAAUGAAUGAGAGUAUCGUUCUACUAGUGACCUAAUUAUGAGUAUUACUUUCAAUCAUACACUAAUGUUUAACAAUAAUAAUGUUGUUGAGGUGUAAUAAUAUUUAAAAGUAAAAUAAUCUUUAAAACAAAGAUUAAGACAAUUGGUAAAGCCUAUUUAGGUAAUGAAUCCCCCUAAUAAGUUAAGUAUUUCAUGAAACAAACAACAAUUUCAAAUCAAGAAUUGAGUUAGCAUUCUACAAAAUUAGGUUUAAACCUUUCUCAAGUGAUUAAACUCCUAAUUCAUAAACGGAGGGAGAGAAAAUCCCUUCUCGAACCCACUCACUUAGGUCAUACAUUAAGAUUAAGAAACUAUUGAACCGAAGAAUCUUGUAGAUCUAUCUCUAAUAUAUCAAUUCUCAAUCCCUAAGAUGUGAUCAAUUUAUAAAAAGUUAUCUCUAAUCAGUUUAUGAAAAUAAAUCUCAAUCAAUACAUCGACUUAUCAAUUAAAAUAGAUAAUUUAGCAAUCAAACGAACAAAAUAACUCAUAGAAAAGAUUAAUUUUAUUAACUUUGAAUCAAUUCAUGCAAAAUAAAUUAGGGUUCAUCAAAAUCCAAAUAGUAAGAAAACUAGUUCCUAAACAUGACAAUAGAGAAAUAAAGAUUAGAGAAAAAAGAUCUCAAACUAUUUAUAGAAGAAUAGGGAUGGAAAUCUUCAAUCUCGGAAAGUAAUGAAGGAAUUGAUAUUCUUCCUUCAGAAAUAUUAAUCAAAACCUUAAAAAUGAAAGAAAGAGAAAGUUUAUAAGUGUUUCUUUCUCUAAAAAUAAAAAUAUAACGGAACUUUCUCAACACAACCCUAAAAGUUACUUAAAUAGUGUAUUUUUAUUACACGGGCACCACACAGCCGUGUGACGUCCUUAGCUUUUCGUAACUUGAAUAUGUGUCUCUUUUCAUUCUUUACUUUGCAGACUAUUUUAGGGCAUCGUAAAAAUCUAAUUGAGGCUUACAUUCUUUAUCAAAUUUUAGCUCUUGGAGAUUAGUUCAUUUUAAUAUUUUGAAUCACCUCAAUAAGACCUCUAUAUCUCUAAAUAAGGCCUAAACACUAAGAUUGACCUAAACAAAGACGGACUGCACAACAUCUGAUUUCGAUCCAAGUUUUCUCAUCCUUAGCAACCUAAUAUGGAGUUAAGCCAUUCAUAAGAAUUAUAGCUUAGGAGGUCCUCUAUAAAGUUGAUGAAGACCACUUUUCAAUCCUGGACCUUUAAGAUCACAAAAAAGUAUAUUGAAGCUAAUGAAAUCAAAUAUGCGUAAUGCUGAAAUUCGCCUAUUAAUAUGACACGAGAAGCACACGCCCGUAUGGGCUUCCCAUGUGGACCCUUCAUGCAUUUGCCAUUUCUCACAAUGGAAGACUACAUGCUUGUGUGGCUUCCCGUUUCACACUGAGUUUUGGAUAAAUAUGACUUUCUUUUGCCCGAUUCUCAUACUUUUUAAUUUUAUUUGACUCUUUGAUAUGUAUUAUCCUUAAAGUGCCUAAAACAAUUAAAAAUUAAGCUUGAACAAACAAAUCAAACUCAAUUGAAAGUAAAAUCAAUAUAAAAUAAAGCUAAAUAAUAAGUGCUUUUAGCACUUAUCAAGAAAUGAACUCUUUUUUUAAAAUGCAAGCUUGUGGAAGGAGCGAAUGAUAUCUGACAUUCUUUGUUUUUAGCUGAAAUUGCAAGGACUGCCGAAGGUCAUGGUAGUAGAAGCUAUAACGAGUUGCUUGUCUAUUAGACACCUUCAAAGGGACCCAGUUUAAAGCUCAACACUGAUGUGGCUUUCUGCUCGAAUACUAUGCAUGUGAAUGGGGGUGGGGUUCUGCAGGAUGUUAAGGCUAUGUGGCAGGAAAGCUUUAUCAUGAAUAUAGGGUGUUGCUCAAUUACUAAGGUGCAGGUAUGGGCCUAUUUAAAGGUCUACAUUUUGCUUGGGAGAGAGGAGUUUGAAACCUAGAAUUAGGGCUGAUAGCUUGUGUAUCGUGCAGCUUGUCGAAAGUCAAAAAUUAGGGAUCAACACUCACUGCCAGCUUACGAAGGGUAUUAAGAAUCUUUUGUCUAGGAAUUGGCAAGUCUUAUUAAGGCAUAUCUUCAGAGAGGCCAACAGGGUAGCUAAUUAGCUAAUAAGCUUUGCUUCAACUUUUCCAUUGGUUUUUAUAGGGAUAAUAAUAUAAAUGGUCACUAAACUUUGCAAUUAAUUUUAUUUGGAUUAUAAAAUUUUAAUUUAUUUUAUUUCAACAAUUCAAUAUUAGUUUUAGUUGUAAUUUAGUCACUUUGCCAAUAAAAAAUUGCCAUGUCACAAUUUUCUUACUUAAUUAUAUUUUUCUUAUUAAUUGUUUUUACUACCAUCAAUCUUGUAUUUAAGAAGUGAAUAAUUGAAAUAAAAUUAAGAUUAAAUGACAAACAAAAAAAAAAAGAUUUUAUGAUUAAAAUAAAACGGAAUACAAAGUUGUUUUAAAGAAUCCGCCGGUCAUCUCUUAUUUCAGGAUGUUGUUGACUACUAGUAGAGUUAUCAGUAUUUAUUAGCUUUCUUUAAAUCUCUUUUUUGUAAAAGAAGAAAAAAAGGAGUGCGAGUCAAUUUUUCAGUUCAACAUUUAUUCUCAAGUAGAAGCUCUCUCUUAUUACAAACUGAAGAGAUGAGACCAUCCAUCAAAGUCUUCUUUUAUUUUUCCGGACUUCGCAUUGACCUACACAUCCCCCCGCUCCCCAUAGAAAAAGAUAAAAAAAGGCCAUGUACGCCUUUCUCAGUACAAAGCUUAAGCAUCAUAAUGCCUUCUUCCUGACUGGAACCUUGAGCUACCUAAGGUUGUUUCCUCUCUAGCAAACUUGAUUCUCCUUGCCUCUUCUAUCGACACCCGGAAUGCAUUGGCAAUCACCUCCACUGGCAUGCCGCGAACAGCAGAAGUGCGGCCGGAAAGAUCAGAGGUCAUGGCAUUGUCGUUGGUCUUGAAGGCAACGUAUUCGAAUCUGUCACUCUCUGACCGUUUCACCACCACAAAGUUCUGUGGCACGGUCAGGACCUGUCCUUCUCGUACAUUUCCAUCGAACACACUGUUGCCGUUCUCAUCCACCACCUGAAUCCGUGCUUGACCCUUCACGGCAUAGAUUACGCUGUGGGCAUUUAUAUGCCAGUGGGGUAACCUCACAGCAUCCUGCCAGGAACAUAUCAAUCAUUAUAAGUUGUGGAAGCGCUUCAUUAUAGUUAGAAUCGAAGGAGCAUUGAUGACUUACAUUGCGAAGAACGACAUGCGAAGCACUGAGUUGGAGCCAUCGCAGAAUAGGGAGGUUGUGGCUGUUGACAGUGCUAACACGGCCAACUUCUGGGACAAAUACAUCAGAGCGAGAGGGAUCAGCAAUGUUCUCUUUCAUUCUCAUGGUGCAAAAUGUCUCCUCAACGCCAUUGUAACGUCCUGGUCGGCCUUCUUGCUCUCUCUCUCGUUGUUCCUCUCUCUCCUGUUGAGUCCUGGGUGGCCUAACUACCAGAAGCCUACCUUCUACAUUCACAAUGCUGCCUCUGAAGUCACUUUGGCCUUGAAGUUUCCUAGCCAACUGCUCGUCCACGUUGAAAGCUUCGGCAAGGACUCUUGAGUCUAUUCCGC
rnacentral:lncRNA from 1 species